GGUUAAGCGACUAAGCGUACACGGUGGAUGCCUAGGCAAUCAGAGGCGAUGAAGGACGUGCUAAUCUGCGAAAAGCGUCGGUAAGGUGAUAUGAACCGUUAUAACCGACGAUAUCCGAAUGGGGAAACCCAGUGCAAUUCGUUGCACUAUCGUUUGAUGAAUACAUAGUCAAACGAGGCGAACCGAGGGAACUGAAACAUCUCAGUACCUCGAGGAAAAGAAAUCAACCGAGAUUCCCCUAGUAGCGGCGAGCGAACGGGGAGCAGCCCAGAGUCUUAAUCAGCAUUAGCAUCAGGAGAACAGUCUGGAAAGGCUGGCAGUAAAGGGUGAUAGCCCCGUAUCCGAAGGUGUUAGUGUUGUGAACUCGACGAGUAGGGCGGGACACGUGUUAUCCUGUCUGAAUAUGGGGGGACCAUCCUCCAAGGCUAAAUACUCCUGAUUGACCGAUAGUGAACCAGUACCGUGAGGGAAAGGCGAAAAGAACCCCGGCGAGGGGAGUGAAAUAGAACCUGAAACCGUGUACGUACAAGCAGUGGGAGCACCCUUCGGGGUGUGACUGCGUACCUUUUGUAUAAUGGGUCAGCGACUUAUAUUCUGUAGCAAGGUUAACCGAAUAGGGGAGCCGUAGGGAAACCGAGUCUUAACUGGGCGAAUGAGUUGCAGGGUAUAGACCCGAAACCCGGUGAUCUAGCCAUGGGCAGGUUGAAGGUUGGGUAACACUAACUGGAGGACCGAACCGACUAAUGUUGAAAAAUUAGCGGAUGACUUGUGGCUGGGGGUGAAAGGCCAAUCAAACCGGGAGAUAGCUGGUUCUCCCCGAAAGCUAUUUAGGUAGCGCCUCGUGAACUCAUCUUCGGGGGUAGAGCACUGUUUCGACUAGGGGGUCAUCCCGACUUACCAACUCGAUGCAAACUACGAAUACCGAAGAAUGUUAUCACGGGAGACACACGGCGGGUGCUAACGUUCGUCGUGAAGAGGGAAACAACCCAGACCGCCAGCUAAGGUCCCAAAGUCAUAGUUAAGUGGGAAACGAAGUGGGAAGGCUCAGACAGCCAGGAUGUUGGCUUAGAAGCAGCCAUCAUUUAAAGAAAGCGUAAUAGCUCACUGGUCGAGUCGGCCUGCGCGGAAGAUGUAACGGGGCUAAACUAUGCACCGAAGCUGCGGCAGCGAUAUUAGAUAUUGUUGGGUAGGGGAGCGUUCUGUAAGCCUGUGAAGGUGUACUGUGAGGUAUGCUGGAGGUAUCAGAAGUGCGAAUGCUGACAUAAGUAACGAUAAUGCGGGUGAAAAACCCGCACGCCGGAAGACCAAGGGUUCCUGUCCAACGUUAAUCGGGGCAGGGUGAGUCGACCCCUAAGGCGAGGCAGAAAUGCGUAGUCGAUGGGAAACGGGUUAAUAUUCCCGUACUGGUGAUAAUUGCGAUGGGGGGACGGAGAAGGUUAGGCUGGCCGGGCGACGGUUGUCCCGGUUUAAGGAUGUAGGCAGGUGAAUUAGGCAAAUCCGGUUCACUACAUGCUGAGGUCUGAUGACGAGCCACUACGGUGGUGAAGUAGCUCAUACCCCGCUUCCAGGAAAAGCCUCUAAGCUCUAGAUUAUCAUUAAUCGUACCCCAAACCGACACAGGUGGUCAGGUAGAGAAUACUCAGGCGCUUGAGAGAACUCGGGUGAAGGAACUAGGCAAAAUGGUGCCGUAACUUCGGGAGAAGGCACGCUGGCGCUAGGUGAAGUGGUUUACCCAUGGAGCUGAAGCCAGUCGCAGAUACCAGCUGGCUGCAACUGUUUAUUAAAAACACAGCACUGUGCAAACACGAAAGUGGACGUAUACGGUGUGACGCCUGCCCGGUGCUGGAAGGUUAAUUGAUGGGGUUAUCCGUAAGGAGAAGCUCUUGAUCGAAGCCCCAGUAAACGGCGGCCGUAACUAUAACGGUCCUAAGGUAGCGAAAUUCCUUGUCGGGUAAGUUCCGACCUGCACGAAUGGCGUAAUGAUGGCCAGGCUGUCUCCACCCGAGACUCAGUGAAAUUGAACUCGCUGUGAAGAUGCAGUGUACCCGCGGCAAGACGGAAAGACCCCGUGAACCUUUACUAUAGCUUGACACUGAACAUUGAGCCUUGAUGUGUAGGAUAGGUGGGAGGCUUCGAAGCGUGGACGCCAGUCUGCGUGGAGCCAACCUUGAAAUACCACCCUUUAAUGUUUGAUGUUCUAACGUUGCCCCGUAAUCCGGGGUGCGGACAGUGUCUGGUGGGUAGUUUGACUGGGGCGGUCUCCUCCCAAAGAGUAACGGAGGAGCACGAAGGUUGGCUAAGCAUGGUCGGACAUCAUGCGGUUAGUGCAAAGGCAUAAGCCAGCUUGACUGCGAGAGUGACGGCUCGAGCAGGUACGAAAGUAGGUCUUAGUGAUCCGGUGGUUCUGAAUGGAAGGGCCAUCGCUCAACGGAUAAAAGGUACUCCGGGGAUAACAGGCUGAUACCGCCCAAGAGUUCAUAUCGACGGCGGUGUUUGGCACCUCGAUGUCGGCUCAUCACAUCCUGGGGCUGAAGUAGGUCCCAAGGGUACGGCUGUUCGCCGUUUAAAGUGGUACGCGAGCUGGGUUUAGAACGUCGUGAGACAGUUCGGUCCCUAUCUGCCGUGGGCGUUGGAAGAUUGAAAGGGGCUGCUCCUAGUACGAGAGGACCGGAGUGGACGCACCACUGGUGUUCGGGUUGUCAUGCCAAUGGCAUUGCCCGGUAGCUAAGUGCGGAAAAGAUAACCGCUGAAAGCAUCUAAGCGGGAAACUUGCCUUGAGAUGAGUCUUCCCUGACCCUUUAAGGGUCCUAAAGGAACGUUUAAGACUAAGACGUUGAUAGGUUGGGUGUGUAAGCGUAGCGAUACGUUGAGCUAACCAAUACUAAUGAACCGUGAGGCUUAACCUG
rnacentral:rRNA from 1 species